AGCCCAGGAGGUGGUGGUGCCUUGCAGGGAGUGGAUGGGAUGUGAGGUGACACACUUGAACUCUGUCCAUCCUGCAAGGAGACAGGGCUGUGAGAGCACUGAUUAGAAGUGUAAAAAUACACAUAAAGUUGCUAUUUUUACUCGUCAGGCACAGAAGGUGAGAGGAAGAAUAGACAGAGAUGAAGUGCAUCCACUUAAGGCUGCAUUACCUGAGUCAGACAAUGCACUAGACUAUUUAUACUGUGAUCUGCCAGCUUUGACAGCCUUCCAGUGCUGUACAACUCUAUUGUUGAGCUGGCAGGUCUCAGCUGCAUCCUUGAGGCUAACCUGGCAUCGGUUCUUACAUGGAGUCCUUGUGAACUUCAAUCCUCUGAAGC
rnacentral:lncRNA from 14 species